AGACGUUACGUAUCACUUUCUGGGGGUGGAAUUCUCAGUUCUGAACUAGAUAUCAUUCCUUUUGGAAUAAUCUUGACAUGAGAAUGUAUGCUCUAAUGAACAUGAGAGCUGAAUUUCAUCAAGAACAAACUAAGUUCUACUCAGCCUGCCCUUGGCCUGAUCUGGAUUUCAUUGGCUUAGUAUAUGAGAUGGGACACUGCGCUGCUGCCCUGCUUUAGCUCCAGCUCUGAAUAACUCCUCUGUGAAGACGAUGACACCAUCAGUAACCAGUCACUAACAUGACUGUAUUCCUCCUGAUGAACAUAGACAAUUGAUUGUUACCUUCUCCAUUCAGCUUGUGAAAGAUAAAACUGUAAUGAUAAAAAAAACUCAAAGUGACUCCAGUGAGAAGCUCUUUUUAUCUUUGUUUUCUUCUUUUCUGAGUGACUGUUAAUGAAAUUUUCAGUGUUCUUAUAAUAUUAAGC
rnacentral:lncRNA from 1 species